UUAAAGCUUAAAUGCAGCAACAGCAUGACAAUUGCCGGGAUUUAAAUUCGAAGGCGAUUUGGGGGCGGGAACCGAGUGGCUCUGAGUGCUGAUCGUAAUUGCACAUGCAUGUAAACGACAAUUAAACAACAACAUGCUGCUCUCCGGUCCUGGUUCGGGGUCCUUGCGGACGGCAUGUGUCCUUGAGGCCGAGCUGUCAUUGAAUUGACUGGCCCGCUCUCCACUUGGCUUAAAUGUACUUGCAUCUACGGCUUGGCCAGCACAUAAACUAUCGAUUAGUUGAAUGGGCAAAAAUAGCAGCCAAGUGGCUUGUGGCACUUCGGGCGGACACAGCUGGCAGGUCGCUCUGGCUCAGCCCCGGCUCAGAUGCUACACUGUAUAACAAAUUGAAUUAAAAUUGUAAAUAUCAGAACAAA